AUGAAGAAGAAUCUGAAGUUGCCUCAAACCAAGCAACAGAUGCCGAGGGCAGAUGCAGAAAUAAAUGUGGACAAGGAAGCUGUGGCGCAAACUGUUGUGCCAAUUGUAGUGAUCAGAGAGCCAACCACCACUAAAGAUGUGUCAGCAAUACCUGUUGAGCCUACAACCAUCACAAGAGCUCAACAGAUCAAGGGGAAGAUUCCUCUGUCAACAGCCCCACCUAAACCAGCUAAGCGCCCGCAAAAGAUUGUCAAGUUUGCCAAGUGCACAAAGGAAGAACAGGGCAGGGAAGGUGUGGGGUCCAGACACGAGACAGAACAACGUGCCACAGCCAACGCUGCAGGACUGCCAAGUUCUGCUAGUUUGGUGCCAACUCAGGCUGCAAAGGUGCCAACUGAAGAUACCAGUGUGCCAACUGAAGUGGUCAUAGUCAAAACUAGCAGAGUUGUCCAGGAAGACUCAACUGCAACCGCAAGCCCCAAGGAGGAGGUGUUCAACAUUGUAAGCAGGUUCAAGCCUCCCAGGCCGCCAAAUACAACAUUACUGCGAAUCAGGUCAGCGAAUGAUGCACCUGUGAAUGUGCCGCAAGAAGAUGCCCCUGGCCUUCAACCCAUACGCAGAUCAAAUUCUUGCAGCUAUCAUGGUGAUGGGUACUGCGAUGAACCAACAUUCGACCUGGGCCUAGAUGAUGAUGCUGGGCAUGCUGCAACACUUGCUCCAGCAGCACAAACAGGGGAAGCAAAUGUGGUUGUCAUAGACGAGGAUGAGUUGGACCCAGCAACAGCGAAUGAAGGAUGCGUUGCUGCUGAUGCUGGCAAGGGAUUAGCUCACCAGCCAGAUGUUGGAUCACCAGACAGCUGCCACACCCCGAUAUGCGGAAAACCAGUAGUUGGCACGAGCAGUUCUUCAGGACUACCUGUUGCACGAAGACAGAGGAGGGUAAUAAGGCCCAGAGCAUCUCAAAGGUCUCCAUUCAUUGACUACAACAAAAAUAAGACCUUCAACUCAAACGAGGCAGUCAACAAGCUUUACGCUGCCACUAUGUAUUGGGUCAGGCAUAUUCCAGGAGUAGAUGAUGAGAAUACCAGGCAAGCCAACUCCCCACAACCUAUCCCUGCGAUAAUCAAGUAUGGUAAUUUCUUCAUUACUCUGAAGGAGUUAGUUGAUUCAAUGAAGCCAAAGCAGUGGCUUUCAAGAGUUGUUAUUGAGACUGGAAUCAUACACAUCAUGAAUAACUUACCAGAAGGGUCAAAUAAAGUUGUCAUGCCACUGAGGUUUUCUAUCAAUUUACAGAAGGGUAUCUACAAUAUGAAUGAGAUAAAUAAGAAGUUUGAACACAAGAACCAUCUCGACAAGAAAGAUUUGUGCGCUAAUGUAAACAACCGCGAAGGAGGCGGGCAUUAUUGGGUCUUCAACAUCAACCUGAGGGAUGGACGUUUCGAAGUCCUUGAUUCAAACAGAAAGCUAGAAGACAUUGAGUUGAUGGACAUCGCCUCUACGAUUGCGGGGGCAAUACGCCAGCUAUGGAGGAAGCAUUACCCAAAGCAGAGCAUUGAGCACUUCCAGCUUAUUGACAUUGACGUACCGUAG
rnacentral:rRNA from 1 species